GACGUAGGGGGCAAGCGUUGUCCGGAAUCAUUGGGCGUAAAGCGCUCGUAGGUGGAUCGGUAAGUCUGCAAAGAAAGACCCGGGCUCAACUCGGGGAACGGUGUGGAUACUACCGAUCUUGAGGCAAUCAGAGGAUGAUGGAAUUCCCGGUGUGGCGGUGAAAUGCGUAGAUAUCGGGAGGAACACCAGUGGCGAAGGCGAUCAUCUGGGGUUGUUCUGACACUGAGGAGCGAAAGCUAGGGGAGCAAACGGG
rnacentral:rRNA from 1 species